GCUCCACCACCCCACCCCCACUCCCAACAUACAUGCAUAAACACAAACAAACAUUUGGUAUUUGGGUGGCAGUGCCCACUGCUGGAGCUCUUGCCAGCCCAAGUCUGGGUCUCAUCUGCCUGGGGCGACAGGCAGAGAGGCUAGGGAGCUGGGAUGGGGGGUGGGGUGGCUUUGGAGCCAUCCAGAGAGAAUUAGCAGGGAGACUAGCAGCUGAGGCCAUGGCCUAGGCCAAGCCUGCCUCCUCAGUGCCAGAGAGAUAGGCUGCCUUAACCCCUUCCUGCCCUCCCACCGCCUCAGAGAGAAGCCUGCUGUGGCCUAAAGAUCCCAUCACUUUAUUCCAAAACAACCUUUUCUGGAAACAGCUUCUGCUGCCUGGGUGAUGCUUAAAGAUCUUUUUAGUAACAAUAAAAAUUCCGGAGACACCUGUAAAGAUAGGAGAAACUGAGGGGCCAAAAUGGACCCUGGGUGACAUUGGUGACCCAUCUGGAAGCAGGCAUUGGUUAACCAAGGAGAAGGAGACAGACUCUCUGGGUCUAAGAACUACGGUCCCCAGGAGAAUUUUCAGUCAACGUGGAAAUGCCAAGGAGGAUGAGGAGGUCUUUCCGAGAUUCAACAGGGUCUUCAUGAAAUCUCUGAAAUAUCUGUAUUGUGUUGGUCCCCCAAGUUUCUUUUGUGAAGAUGGGAGCAACAUGUGAUAUUCCCACUUCCUCUUUUUAAAACCAUCGCUGGGCUGUCAUUUCAGCAACAUCUUAACAAAUGAAAAUCCUCCUCUGAGUCAAUAGUAAUUAUAGGAAUUUAUCACAAUUGCCAAUCAAGGUGUUCUGAAGAGACUCAUCUUUCUUGUUAAAUUAGCUUUCACUGCACGCAAACAGUGAGUUAUCUUUAGGAAAUCAAUUGCAGGGAAAUUACAGCUUUCAUGGAGUGAUAUAACCUUGCCAACCGUCUUGUUAUACAUAAUUCCUCUACCAAAAAAUUCAGCUGGGCUCCUGUGACUUAUUUUCAGGGAUUAUAUUUCAAAGCAUGAAAUGUGGAAAAGUCAACUUCUAAAGGCCCAGGAUGGAGGUGGAGGCAAUGACCUUGGGAACGUCCCAAGACACUUGUA